rnacentral:lncRNA from 1 species
GCCAGCCUGCCUAUAUAGUGAGUCCAUCUUUCAAAAAUACACCACCACCAUCCCAGUUGUGCACACACACAGCAGCUGUGGCCAGCCCAUGCCCUCCAGUUCCCAGGGGCCCCUUCACUGGCUGAUGACUGAUGGGCAGAGGCUCCUCUGUGGGAGUUUUGUUGGGACGAGCAUUACUUGUGCUCUCUUGCUUGGGGAGGGGGGGGGGGCGUCUGGCUUGGGAUGGGGGAGACAGCUUAGAGAACAACAGGCUUUGAACCCUGGCUGACUGGGAGCUGUAAUCUUACUUUGGAGUGGUGGGAAUCGUCAGUGGUAGUCUAGAGUUUGUACUUUUAAAUGAACUUCCUGUUCGGUUCAUGAUGGUUAGACUUGUUAGAAGACGCUUUUUCUCUGCAGUCAGAGAAACCUUUUGUUUCUCACUGGAAAUGUUACUGGACACUGUCUCUUUGAACUGUAGGAUUUUGUUAAUUGAGUUAUAGCCAAAUUUCAAAUUUUAGUUAAUAGUGCUAAACAAAGAUCAAAAAUGUAAGAGGAAAGAUUUGAAUUGGGUAUUUCUUUUUUUCCAGUUAAUCUAGUGCGAUUAAGUAUUUAAAAUCAGUUGACAAUCACAAGAUGAUUGCAGUCUUCAGUGUCUUCAGAAACACUCUACAUCUAGUGAAUGCUGAAUAGUUCCAGAUUUUAGGUGGAUUGGUGGAUUUUAAAACAUAGCAAUUGGUAUCUGUCCAGCCCACUGGAUAUGUCUGGAAGGGUGUGGCAUCAUUUCUGAGAAAUGAAAGACGCCGUAUGUAUUGUGACACUGUGGGUACAGAGGAGGGUGAGGCAUUCUGUCUAAGGGAGUCAUUCUUAGCAAGGCAAAGGUGACUUGCGGAAAGCAGAGAAGUGGACUCUUCCCAGGUUGACUAAGCUGUAACUGAGGGUGAGGUCAGGCUGGUGUGGGAAGCUGAAGUUCUCUGGGUAUAGCAGGCAGACGGUUUCCAUGUAUAAGGACUGAGUGAGAAAGGAGGAAGACAAGACUCCUGCUAAGAUACCAGGUUCCAGCAUGGACAGUCAGGUGGAUUGCCAGUGGCGCCAGGAAACAGCCCUGGCCCCAUCUGUGGAAGAGCACCCUCCUCAUCUGCUAGCUCCUGGUGUCACAGUUGUGAUUGUCCUUUGUUGUUGGUUUGGUUUUUGAGUUAUGCUCUGUAUAGUCCUGGCUAUCCUAAAACUUGCUCUAUAGAUCAGAGUGGCCUCAAACCCAGAGAGUCACCUCCCUCUACCUUCUGAGUACUGGGCCUGAGUCACCACUCCCUGGUGCAGUUUUGAUUUUCAGAGGGUUUCCUUUGUUAAGAUGACUGUUAGAUAUCUGGCCCUUCAGCCAGAAGUCACUAGAAAACUACUUACAAUUAGCCAGAAUAGGGUGAGUUGCUUUUUGCCAUGAGGGAACCCACUGGAGUUUUAUUAUGCGAUGUGGGUGUGUGGAACUCAGAAGGGGUUUGCUCUGGCUCAGUGCUGUCUCAGCCUUGCAUUUUAGGGAGUCCUGCCUAGAAGGAGGUAGGGUGUAGUGGGCUGAAGCUGCUAUACAGGAAAAUCCACUUCCUUGUAUUCUCUGCCUCAUGAAGUGACGUUGGCUUUAGGACAUGAUCGUGUAGUCUUUUUUUCAUCAACACAGUCCCGUGGAGGCCUGAGAGCUUGUGAGCCUUUAUAGGAACAUCUAUCUGCACUCCAGUGUAGCUGUCAGCAUCAGGCCAGCUGCCUGCCUUUUUCCAGGGUGGCUUUUCUGGGGAACACUUGUCCAGCUUUUUACAAUUCUUCUUUUCUCUGUUGUGUGUGCAAGCCCUGGUCCUUUUCCCUGUUGUGUGGAAUCUGUAUAUU